rnacentral:rRNA from 1 species
GAUGAACGCUGACAGAAUGCUUAACACAUGCAAGUCAACUUGAACUUCGGUUUGGGUGGCGGACGGGUGAGUAACGCGUAAAGAACUUGCCUCACAGAUAGGGACAACAUUUGGAAACGAAUGCUAAUACCUAAUAUUAUGAUUUUAGGGCAUCCUAGGAUUAUGAAAGCUACAUGCGCUGUGAGAGAGCUUUGCGUCCCAUUAGCUAGUUGGAGAGGUAACGGCUCACCAAGGCGAUGAUGGGUAGCCGGCCUGAGAGGGUGAUCGGCCACAAGGGGACUGAGACACGGCCCUUACUCCUACGGGAGGCAGCAGUGGGGAAUAUUGGACAAUGGACCAAGAGUCUGAUCCAGCAAUUCUGUGUGCACGAUGAAGUUUUUCGGAAUGUAAAGUGCUUUCAGUUGGGAAGAAAAAAAUGACGGUACCAACAGAAGAAGUGACGGCUAAAUACGUGCCAGCAGCCGCGGUAAUACGUAUGUCACAAGCGUUAUCCGGAUUUAUUGGGCGUAAAGCGCGUCUAGGUGGUUAUAUAAGUCUGAUGUGAAAAUGCAGGGCUCAACUCUGUAUUGCGUUGGAAACUGUGUAACUAGAGUACUGGAGAGGUAAGCGGAACUACAAGUGUAGAGGUGAAAUUCGUAGAUAUUUGUAGGAAUGCCGAUGGGGAAGCCAGCUUACUGGACAGAUACUGACGCUGAAGCGCGAAAGCGUGGGUAGCAAACAGG